rnacentral:rRNA from 1 species
GACGUAGGGAGCGAGCGUUGUCCGGAUUUAUUGGGCUUAAAGGGUGCGUAGGCGGUCCUGUAAGUCAGUGCUGAAAUAUCCCGGCUUAACCGGGAGGGUGGCAUUGAUACUGGGGGGCUAGAGUACAGAUGAGGUAGGCGGAAUUGACGGUGUAGCGGUGAAAUGCUUAGAUAUCGUCAAGAACACCUAUAGCGAAGGCAGCUUGCUAGGCUGUAACUGACGCUGAGGCACGAAAGUGUGGGGAGCAAACAGG